AAACCGGAGGAAGGUGGGGAUGACGUCAAGUCCUCAUGGCCCUUAUAGGUGGGCUACACACGUCAUACAAUGGCUGGUACAAGGGUUGCAAACCCGCGAGGGGGAGCCAAUCCCAUAAAGCCAGUCGUAGUCCGGAUCGCAGUCUGCAACUCGACUGCGUGAAGUCGGAAUCGCUAGUAAUCGUGGAUCAGCAUGUCACGGUGAAUACGUUCCCGGGUCUU
rnacentral:rRNA from 1 species